rnacentral:rRNA from 1 species
CCUACGGGUGGCUGCAGUGGGGAAUAUUGCACAAUGGGCGCAAGCCUGAUGCAGCCAUGCCGCGUGUGUGAAGAAGGCCUUCGGGUUGUAAAGCACUUUCAGCGGGGAGGAAGGCGUUAAGGUUAAUAACCUUGGCGAUUGACGUUACCCGCAGAAGAAGCACCGGCUAACUCCGUGCCAGCAGCCGCGGUAAUACGGAGGGUGCAAGCGUUAAUCGGAAUUACUGGGCGUAAAGCGCACGCAGGCGGGCUGUCAAGUCGGAUGUGAAAUCCCCGGGCUCAACCUGGGAACUGCAUUCGAAACUGGCAGGCUAGAGUCUUGUAGAGGGGGGUAGAAUUCCAGGUGUAGCGGUGAAAUGCGUAGAGAUCUGGAGGAAUACCGGUGGCGAAGGCGGCCCCCUGGACAAAGACUGACGCUCAGGUGCGAAAGCGUGGGGAGCAAACAGGAUUAGAUACCCGUGUAGUC